GUUUAAUGCCAGUAACAGAAACUUCCUGGUUGUCGCGCUUCACCUGCCGAAACUGAAGCAUUAAUUUACACAAAAGCACAAUCGCCUGCUACAGCAAACUGACUUUUCAUCGCUACAUCGCGUGCCCUGUGUGGAAGCGGAGAGAAAAACCAUCAUUUGAAGCAGAGAAAUCAGUGAGGCGGUGCUGGAGCAUUCAGAGAACACAGAGGAUGAGGGUGUUUCCCGGUGGGAAGGAUGAAGAGUUCCCCAGCUAGCCGCAGUCGGGACAUCGAGCGUCAGGCAGGAUAUCUGCGGCCGGAGCACUGCGUGCCGCCCCCUCCACGGACAUACUCUGCCGACGACAUGUGGUUCAUCCGGGACGGCUGCGGCAUCGUGUGCGGCGUGAUCACGUGGCUGCUGGUCUUCUACGCUGAGUUUGUGGUCGUCUUCGUAAUGCUGCUGCCAGUGAAGAAUGUGCUGUACAGCCUAAUUAAUGGCGCCUUGUUUAACGGACUGGCUUUCCUCGCCCUGGCCUCACACUUCAAAGCCAUGUGCACCGACCCGGGAGCCGUUCCAAAGGGAAACGCCACUAAAGAGUUUAUCGAGAGUCUGCAGCUCAAGCCUGGACAGGUGGUGUAUAAAUGUCCCAAAUGCUGCAGCAUCAAACCGGAUAGAGCUCAUCACUGCAGGUAAACACACACACAGCAUCGAGGACCGAGACAUCACUGUGUGAGGUUCAGUUCUGAGGCAGGUCUCACUGUAAGAGUGUGUUUUCUCUGUGUAGUGUGUGUAAGCGCUGUAUCAAGAAGAUGGACCAUCAUUGUCCCUGGGUCAACAACUGUGUGGGAGAGAGCAACCAAAAAUACUUUGUGCUUUUCACUGUGAGUAUCAUCCGGAUACUUUUUUUAUUAAUAAUUUGAAAAAGAUUUCAUUUUUAUAUUUUGUUUUCAUUUUAAUAUUAGUAUAUGUGAUAAAAAAUGCUUUAAUAUGUAAUAUUUUA
ensembl:lncRNA